UACGGGGGGGGGUAAGCGUUGUUCGGAAUUACUGGGCGUAAAGGGCUCGUAGGCGGCCAACUAAGUCAGACGUGAAAUCCCUCGGCUUAACCGGGGAACUGCGUCUGAUACUGGAUGGCUUGAGGUUGGGAGAGGGAUGCGGAAUUCCAGGUGUAGCGGUGAAAUGCGUAGAUAUCUGGAGGAACACCGGUGGCGAAGGCGGCAUCCUGGACCAAUUCUGACGCUGAGGAGCGAAAGCCAGGGGAGCAAACGGG
rnacentral:rRNA from 1 species